CAAUGAGGAGUGUGGUGAAUAUCAAGCUGCAAUUACCGGCAGAUUGCUCUGUGGUGAACUGGCUUUCCGAAU